CCCCAUCCCUCUCCUUUGUCCCCUCUCGCCGGAAUGUUGCGGAGAACCGGAGCGCGAUGGCAAGCCGACGGCCGACCGCCGGCGUUCCUUCUCUCCGUCCCGCGGUAUUCUACCCCGCUGUUGGAAAUCUCUCGGCGCGCGUAUAUUGGCGAGCAACAACUUGCUAAAAAUUAGGGUUCUGAUGAUUUGGGAUGCGGGAGAGACUAAAAAUUUGCCUAGAGCCAAGACAUUUGGAAAGACAAUUCCAUGUUGCAAUUGGAUAACCACUUCGGCCGCUCGACGGGCGUUGCGGCAGUGGGAUACUCGUGUGACAGGGCGUAUGGGCGCGCGUCGGCGGCAGGAUCCAGCGAUGCGCGGCGCCCCCAAGAAAAGUAGGCUUGGAGCAAGUUGGGAGGGGACCGAGAUUCGUUCAAACGAUGCACAAGGUUACAAAGUUCUAACUACUACAAGGUUUUCUCCCUUUGUUUUAUGCGCAUGAUUUUGCAGUUCCAACACAUAUCGGUUCCUUGUCUCUUUCGGAGCUGCUGAUCCCCAUAGCCGUUGCCGAUCCGGAUGCUUCUGGUUGGUCCGGGCGACUGCAUUCUGUGAACCUACCCUGCUUUUGGUUUAGUUCUCGGCUAUAUCAUACUGUUGUCUGGAAUAUUAUGUUAGUCUGUCGACCUGAUUAGAACUUAGAAGAAGGAACUAGGUAAACCUUUCCUGUUUGAUCGAUGAUGCGAAGAAAUUUGUCAAUGGCUGUUUGAUAUCGUUAGCUGGCGCUACCCUGUACUGUAAUUACUAAUUAGUUUAUCACUUGACUAUGCA